CCCAGAGCCGUGUCCUGGGGGAAUCUGGUCUGGCCUCACAUGGCCAGCAGUGACCACCCCAGGGCGUGUGCCGGGGGAGAUGUUCACUGUUAAACUGGAGGCGCCUGUGCCAGGAGAAGCCUGAGGGAAGACUCUGUUCCUGGGAGAGGCUGAGGCUCCUGGGAGUGCCUGGAGGGGCCGUCCUGGGAGCAGGACAGCAAGGAUUGUCCAUGAGGGGCCAGGGUGGUGCUAGGACGGCUUGGGCUAUGCCUGGGAGCUGGGACCUGUCACUGGUGCCAUGUGUGGAGGAGCCCCUCAGCCUGGUGAGGGCUCAGGCCAGGACUCACCACGUUCCCAUUCCCGGCGGAACAGGCUCUGCGUGAGGCGGGAUGCUGCAGGACACACCGGGGCCCACUCGACCAACACUCUGAGGAGCAUUUCAAGUGCUUUUCCUAAAGCUGAAUUCUCUAUAAAGGAGAAGUGACUAGAAACCCUGAACUGAGUCCCAGGUCUCACUUAACUUUGUAAGGCACAGUGACACACUGAGGCUGCUCCACUUAAGGUAUGGUAUGAACCAGGAGCUGUGGAAUGAGUGUUCACAUGGAUCAUCCUGCCUGUGGAAUGAGUGUUCACAUGGAUCAUCCUGCUGCAGCUAUUCCCGAGCCAGCAGCUGCUGUGUAAGCAGAGCCCAAAAGACAAUCCUUGCCCCAGUGACUGUGUGGCAGAUAAGACAGACAAUGGGCACCAGGAAGGCCCCUGGCUAUCAGGGAAGGAUGGAUACUGUUCAGCCAGCUGGGAACAAAGAAACCUGGGCUGCUCCAGGCCCCACAGGACUGUCCCAGAGUGUCCUUCCCUGCCUGCUGGUGCCAGGAACGUGACACUUUGGGAACUGUUUGUGUCAGGACUCCCUGCUUUGACACCUUUGAUUUCUGAGACUGCCUCAUUUCAGGAAACCCCAAAGCUCCUCUCCACAAGGAUUUCCCCAUCCAGCAGCUCUUCACUGGAUACUGAAAUGAGAUGGAAGGGCUUGAAUGUUUCCUUGGCAAGAUGGGUGGAUGGCAUUAGUUUAAUCUGUUCUGAUUCUGGUUCUACCAAGUCAACUGGAUCCAAUCACCUCCUCUGCUAAAGGCUGCAGAGCAACAGUCUACUGGAAUAUUCUUUGUGCUGAAAACAGGAAGACAUGGAAUGAGGGUUUGUAACUUUUUUGGAUGACUUUCUAUGUUACAAUUUUUACCUUUAAUAUCACCACUUUAAAUAAGAAUAUUUAUUUGUUGAAAUAAACACAUUUUUUGCCCUGAAAUACUGGAAUAUGCCUCCACAGCUUCUUCCCACCUCAGCUCUGCCACUGUGAAGAGAACCCACUUGUGGAUUUCAAAGUCAGAAGGAUGAGCUGGAACCUCUAACAGAGGAUGUGCACAGAGCAAUUCCUGCAGUUCCUCCUGCAGCCAGGGCCCUGAUGAGUGGAUCUUCUCCUUACCUGCUCUAGGAAAUCCUGUAUAAAUGUCUGACAAGCUCUUCCAGGGCUUUAUAACUUUGUGUCUUGUUCCUUAAGGCAAGCUGCAAGUUGCCUGCUUAUCCCAUUCCAUCUUGUACGGCCUCUGUGGAUGGGACCCUUCCUGUGUGUGACUGCACGUGGUGGAGAGGAGAGCACGGGGGUUUGGGGCUAUUUUUAUCUGAUGUGUUCCCAAAGCAGCUCUCCCAGUUGCCACACUGCCUGUCAGAGUGGAGGGCUGGUGCAGCAGAGGUCUGUAGGGACACUUGGUACGUGGCCAGGAGAUCACAUGCAGGAUCCCUUGUGCACAUCCUGCAGUGGGAUCCAGCCCUGCUAGUCUCUCUUUAACACUUCAGGACAUUCUCAGCAGACCCAUGAAUCCAUUUCUCAGUGCCCAGGCUAGGCCACCAAGACUUCAAGAGCAAAUCUGACUGGUUUUAGUUUUCUUUCUUUUUAAGAUUCAGCAUCACUGAGCACCUCCAAUUUGGCUUGAAAAAUAAAAUACCUAGAAUAAAGGUAUUUGAAAAGCACAUGCAGGUCAUCAUAGGGUUUUUGCAAACUCAGCCUCAGGUGAUGCCAUCAGCUUCUACUGCAGUUAAGCACUGCCCCAGACUUCCUUGAAGUUGCCAUCUCCAGUCUGUGCUAAGCAGUAUGAACAUUAAAAUAGGCCCUGCUGAAAUAAAACACCCUGGUACUUGCAUGAACACACUGUUUCCUCAAAAAACAGGUAACUGAACUACACCUGAGCCACCAUUUGAGCUGCUUUUCACAUCUUUGGAAGGUGCAGGGCAUCCAGAUCAGUACUGGUGUUACCACAGCCCACAGAGAACAGACCCGAGGCAGCAGAGAGCAAAGAGUGCAGGGUGAGAUCCCAACAGGGAAAAGAAAAAAAAAAAAAGAAGUUAAAUUUCUCUUCAGGUACGAGCACUUCUGUUAAUGCCUUGCAGGCUGCAAGGAGGCUCUCACUGCAGGGGACACUUGCCGAACUGCCCUGCACCAUUACCAGCUGCUGUCAGGGCACAGCUCCUGUCCAGAGCAGUUUAAUGUGGUACAUUCAAUCAAACAGAAAUUGUAUGCCAGCCACAUACAUGGAAUAAAACAAGUGCAGGAAAUACAUUUUUCAGGCAAAUUUGUUGAUUUCUUUUUCUGAAGCCCCGUGGUACUUUGCUGUAGUUUCAGAUAAAUAGCUGCUUCAGUGAGGAAAUAUAGUUAUUUAGGCAAACUUUUAUCAUAAUUUAUACCUUUGAUUUUCAGCAAGACUGAAGAAAUCCAAGCUCUCAAGGAACCUGUAGCUUUAACAGGUCCUUAUUAGGCUUUGUCUUUUUAAUUAGCUACUAAGAGAACAUUUGCAGGCGUUGGUGGAAAAAAACCUGCACCUUCUGCAGUGGGAUGGCUGGGCCAGCCUGCACACGAGCUGGACCCUGUUCUGGUGCCCAGUUUGUAUUUCCUGGGCUUCAAAGGUUGAUAUUUGGUACUUUUUAAAGAGGAAAAACCAAAACAACCCCCCAGCAAAGUGAGCAGGCUUCCCUGGGCCACAAACUCAUCAGCUGAUCUAGGGCAGUGUGACUGUGCCUUUCUCUGCAACAUCGAGCUCAAAAACUUUAUGUCAUUGGAGCAGGAUUUCUCUCUUAACCUGGAAGGCUGGCAGUGAGAAAGUCCUCUCUUUACUGAGGCUGAUGCUGCUUUAGAUGCACCUUAAGGGAAAAAAGAAAAAAAAAAUAAGAAAAAAACCCCCAAGCUGUUUCCUGACUAUUAAAGAGAGAAGGAAAAAAAUUCAUGGUAUUCUAGGUAAAUAACACAGUUGGGUGUAAUGAGUCAAAUCCCACAUUAUCAUUGUCAGUUGUCCUCUUGGCUUUUUGUCAUGGUGCCCAUGACCUGACUCACUGUGACAAAACCUGAAGGGGUCCCUGAUGACUCAUGUACCUGCAAAACCUCCCCUGUACUUUUAAGUUCAUAUUCCUGUAAACUUCACUUAUUCUGCCUGUAAACUCAGAUUGGUUCUUUAAGCUCAACAGCAGAACGUUCACAGACAAAGCAUGCAGAGAAAUUCAGAGAUGCAGCAUCCAGUUUGUAAAUCAGGGUACCAGUAGGCCCAUGGAGCUGGGCAUGAUGCCUUUAUUUAUUAGUCUGCAAUUAAGGGAAGGCGAUGAAGUUUCCUCUGAACACCCCCCAGGCCCCUCAGGCUGCUCACCUGCCUCCUGAGAGAAGCUGAGUGGUACAAGGAUUCACUGUGCUCCUGAAUCUGUGGAGGAGCAAUUUGUUUUCUCCUUAAACUUCCUGUGACUUUUGCCCAGCAUUCUUAAAGGAAAAAUUAAAGACUUAGUGGUUCCUACAGCCUACCUGCAAAUAUACUCCUACUUCCACUUCUGCUGAUUCAUUCACUUCUCCCACAGCAGACUGACAUCCUAAUUAGUGCCAGCAUAUCCAAGAGGCAUUUUCAGUCAUCACAUAAUGAAGUGGAACAGAAAAGGACCAGUGACCCAGUGGGGCCCAGUGCCAUUGCACAGGACGGGUUUGGCCCACCAGUCUGUUGGCACAACAGAGGUUCCACAGUCCCCACAUCCAGUUACAGAAUAUUCUGAUAUUUAUGCCUGGUGCCACGGAUCUUGUGCUGUGUGUAGUACCGAGGCUUUUGCUCCAUGAUGGAUGAGAAGCAAAUCUGUGGAUCCCGGCGUGUGGACUUCAAAGUACUUACAGCUCGCGCUUAAUUGGGGAAAGGAAGCCAAGGGAAAUCAUGUGCAUUGGAGUCAAAUACCAUUUUUAGGAGUGGGAACUGCCUGUGUAUUUCACCAGUGAUUAAAAUAGCCAGGGAUGAAGGCACACUCUUGAUUAAUGGUCUCUCUGUGAGCUGAGGACACGUCCUCCAGAGUCUGGCCCUCCUGAGAGACACCCCUGACGUGCCGCUGGGCCGAGCUCAGUUUAAAGGCACGAGCAGGAACUGGUUGGUUGGCUUUUAUCAUCCUUGCUGUGGAUCAGUUAUGUCUGGUGGCUUGAAUGAUUAUCUCCUACGUCCAAAGCGUGUGCUGUGUGUAAGUAGCUCUAACCCAACCUGGACCAGGAGCAGUGCUGCAUCCCUGCAGCCAUGUUCCCAUGGAAGGAGGUUCCUUGAGCUCUCCCUGGCAUGCUGGGCUGGUGCUGCAGUUGGAACAAGACCAACCAAAUGAUUAUUUUAAAGACACUCAUUUUUUCUCUAUUCUUGUUCACAUUUUGUGACUCUGCUGCUUCUUAAACCCCUGCACGUCCCUCUGGGCAGUGGCAGCUAAACCACUGAGUAGUGGCUUUCUCCUGAUAGAGAAUCCUGUGGGACACAUGGAGGUGAGGGGGAGACCCUGACUAUCCUGUCCCCAUUACAGGACACAACUGGGCAGCUCAGGACCAGCUCAGCCCCUUUAGCAAUCCCUCCCAGCCAGUCUCAGUGGGGUACGGCAGCAGGGCUGGCACUAUCCAGCUCCCUGAUUAUUUGAUGCCAGAGGGGAUGCUCCCCAGAGCUCCAGAAGCAGCUGUGAGCGGGCUCUGAGGGUUCUGGGGAGGGCUGAACCCCACACAGAAGGUGAGCUGGGGGCUGCUCCACACUCCACCCUCUCUCCCUGUGUGGCAAAAAGCACAGGCUUAACCUCUGCGUGCCUCCCACCCCGGCUGAACCAGAGAUAGGAAACUCUGUCUGUCUCAGUGGGUUUCUGCAGCACUUAAUUGAUUUGUGCUGCUAAACACCCCACAGUAAAUGAGUCCAAGGUGUUAAAGGAGGAUGCGUUAGUGGGAAAGAUCCAGCUGAAGCACAGCUUAGAUAGGAACCAUGUGUGUGCUGGGACAGAGUGCACCCUCGCCCCGUUCCCACCCCUGGCCCUGCACAGGGGGAUUAAUGCUUCACGGAAAUGCUGGCUUGUUUUCAGGCCUCUGGCUUGUCCUGGAGCAUCCCCAUGGUCCGAAUGUCUGGUGGGAUUUGCUGCUGCAGGAAGGAGCCCCAAGUGGCACCAAGGAAUGCCCCGUUCCAGCCCCGUGCUGACACCACUGGUUUGCACAUUAAGGGUCUCUUUUCCUGCACAGAGACAACAAUACAAGGCAUUGCUGUAAGAACAACUUGAAAAAGACACAAACGAGGAGCUUCUGGGAAUUCCUCAGGUUUUUCCAGCUGCAGAGGAGGGUGAAAACUGUCAGCUACAAAAAUAUUAUAGUUUAUGCUGUUAAACAAAUCAUCAUAUGUCAACAGGUAGCUGAAUUAUGUCCAAUUCCGCUGGCAGAGGCAGAACUGAUUUUGUUCCCAAUGCUAUUGUAUAGUUAACAGCUGGCAGCAAACUGGCAGUGAAGGCUGUGCUGGGCUGAUAAAUAACCCAACAAGCCUCACAGCAGAAGUAUCUCAUGGAGGGACUGCAGCUCACGCUGGAAUGCGUUGAACAAACGCUUGUUAACAAUCUAUGCACAGGCGGGGAACUGCUUGAUGAAAAGGUACUAGAAAAAUGUUAUUUAAGACACAGAUUUCCUAGGGGUAUCAAAAGAACAAACCAGGUUUUAGGCCUAAGAACACCAAACACAGCAGCAAAGCAGCAAAUGUUAGCAUUUCUCGCUCGCUGAAACCGAGAGUCUGGUAAUAAUGAGUGAAACGUCCCAACCAGUCUGAAGAUAUCAAAGGCAAGCCAGGAAACCAACGGAGAGAAAUAUUUCUGUAUUUGUUUCACAGCCCCCAAAUUCUGCUGGACAAUUUUCCACUCUUCCAGAUGUUUUCUGAGGGAGACAUGCUCUGAUUUCAAAUGCUGUGCUGCUUCUAAGGUGUCUCACCUGGGACAAGGCAAGGCGACAAGUGGAAAUGCCCCAUCAUGAGAUGCUGAUCAGGCUGGAGCCCCUCUUUCUGUACUUAACACUGCUCUGGUUUUGUCUCUGCUCUGGUUUUGUCUCUGGUUUGCAGACAUUUUAUUUUUACCAUGGGUAAGAGCAGGAAUGUGUGUGUCUCUGUGAGAGAACGAGCAUGGGGCUGCAAGCUUCAUCUCAGUGCAAAUAAUAUUUUGGCAGGAAACCUGCAGGAGAUUAAAUUAGGGGCCUAACGACUGAAUAUUAAACAUUUCAAACUUCGA